rnacentral:misc_RNA from 1 species
GAUGAAGAACGUAGCGAAAUGCGAUAAGUAAUGUGAAUUGCAGAAUUCAGUGAAUCAUCGAAUCUUUGAACGCAUCUUGCGCUCCUUGGUAUUCUGAGGAGCAUGCCUGUUUGAGUGUCAUUAAAUUCUCAACCGCACUGACUUUGAAUUGGUGUGGCUUGGAUUUGGGGGGAAAAUUGUUGUGGGCUUUUUUGUAUAGUCUGCUCCCCUGAAAUUGAUUAGCGGUACCUUUGUGGAACUGUCUACAGGUGUGAUAAUUAUCUACAUCCUAGACAUCUGCUGAAAUGCUGCUUUCUAAACCUUACUUGUAUUGACAAUCUUGACCUCAAAUCAGGUAGGACUACCCGCUGAACUUAAGCAUAUCAAUAAGCGGAGGA